rnacentral:tRNA from 1 species
UCCUUGGUGGCUUAGACAGUAAAGAAUCUGCCUGCAGUGCAGAAGACUUGGGUUCAAUCCCUGGGCCAGGAA